rnacentral:lncRNA from 1 species
GUGACACCGGUCCAUGAACAGAAAGUUGUUGAAAGGUUCCAUGAGGUCAGGAGAGGUGAGUGUUCGUCGAUGGUGAAGGAGGAUUUGAGUGAGAGAAGAGCGUGGAGCUCGGUGAUUGGUUUAGCGACGGUGAAGGAAUGAGAAAUGUGGAGGAGAAGGAGGAGGAGGAGGAGAAGAAGAAGCUUCAUUUUUUUUUUGUU